UACGUAGGGGGCAAGCGUUGUCCGGAAUCAUUGGGCGUAAAGAGCGCGUAGGCGGUCCGGUAAGUCCGCUCUGAAAGUCCGGGGCUCAACCCCGGGAGGCGGGCGGAUACUGUCGGGCUAGAGUCCGGAAGAGGCGAGUGGAAUUCCUGGUGUAGCGGUGAAAUGCGCAGAUAUCAGGAGGAACACCAAUGGCGAAGGCAGCUCGCUGGGACGGUACUGACGCUGAGGUGCGAAAGCUAGGGGAGCAAACGGG
rnacentral:rRNA from 1 species